AGAUCACCAUAGUACCUUGUGUACGUGAUUCUAUAAUUUGGUUUACUUCCUAACUUGAUUCUUUGAUCCUUAUAUGGGGUGUUCUGGAUAUGGUGAAGUAUGCAUGGAGGUUGUGAGUUAUCAAUAAGAGAUCAGUCACUCCUAAUAAGAAGAGCGAAUAUCCUAUGUGAUCUCAUAAGUUGAUGAUUCUGAAAGUCUUUGACCAAAAUUGAAAGAUAAUUAAAAAAAAAUUCUAGUGUAUCUUCAAUUAAAUCAUCAUCUUUUGAUUGAGAUACAUAUAGAUAAGUAAUUGGGCUAGAUAUGUGUUGGGUAUAAAAUAACCCUAGCUGAAGUUCGUAAAAGGCCAACCCUUCCAGGGCUCUUCCAGCUUCCGACCUUGUGUGGCGUCUUUUUGAACUUCCCCGACCGUCCGAGCUUCCAUAAUACCAUCUGGAUUUCUCCAACAAUGAGCUCCUCCAUUCAUCUACCAGGCUGCUCCAAACACUUUCUGAGCUUCACUAUCAGCUGAUUUUCUACAAUGAUCGAUUAUUCUCCGAAUCUCUUCUAGACUUCUUCCAGUCACGAACGACUUUACUCCGAACUUCUAUUGCAAGCAGACUUCAUCCGAGCUCCUACAAGAGCCAGACUUCGUCCGAACUUCUAUAAUGGAUGGGUCAUAGACGAACUUCUACAACGGACAGGCUCCACCAGCU
rnacentral:lncRNA from 1 species